GAUGAACGCUGGCGGCGUGCCUAACACAUGCAAGUCGAGCGAACGGACGAGAAGCUUGCUUCUCUGAUGUUAGCGGCGGACGGGUGAGUAACACGUGGAUAACCUACCUAUAAGACUGGGAUAACCUCGGGACACCGGAGCUAAUACCGGAUAAUAUUUUGAACCGCAUGGAUCAAAAGUAAAAGAAGGUCUUGCUGUCACUUAUAGAUGGAUACGCGCUGCAUUAGCUAGUUGGUAAGGUAACGGCUUACCAAGGCAACGAUGCAUAGCCGACCUGAAAGGGUGAUCGGCCACACUGGAACUGAGACACGGUCCAGACUCCUACGGGAGGCAGCAGUAGGGAAUCUUCCGCAAAGGGCGAGAGCCUGACGGUGCAACGCCGCGUGAGUGAUGAAGGUCUUCGGAUCGUAAAACUCUGUUAUUAGGGAAGAACAUAUGUGUAAGUAACUGUGCACAUCUUGACGGUACCUAAACAGAAAGCCACGGCUAACUACGUG
rnacentral:rRNA from 1 species